AUGUAUCUUUCAACUCACGGUCCUGCAGGAAUUUUUCGACUCGACACGAGGCAGCUCCUAGCUAAAAAUGACAAAGUCAAAAACCAAACCAUGCCCUUCCUGUCAGGCUCCAAACACCUGCAACAGGAAGACAUGCAGUGGAUGCCUGGGCAGCCUGAACGUAAAGGAGGGAUUGAAAAAAAAAACAAGAACAAUUUAAAAACAGUAACUGGGCUGCCUCUGUUAAAAAAAACAGAAAUGCGAGCAGGGUGGUUAAUUCAGCCCAGUUGUCAGUUUCAAAACUUCAUGCCCUGGGCUACCAGCCUAUUCUUUUUCUUGGACAGUUUGACCGUAAGAGCCGUAUAGUAGGGGACGUGAUCACUCAGAUCGAACCAGCGGAAGGUGCUACACGUGACAUCCUCAUGAAGAUGAGGAAACUUUAUGAAUACCUUCUGAGAAAAUUACAAGCUUCACCUCCUGCUGAAAGUUCUACACCAGCAGCUGGACCAUCCUCUGCUGACAAUGUGGAUGCUGGACCAGUCCCAGACCAAGAGGCUCUAAACGAGGAAUUUAUUCUUCAUUUAGAGCCUGAACCAACAUCUUCCCUCUGUCAGCCUCCUGCA